rnacentral:antisense_RNA from 1 species
CUUCAUCGAGCCCAGCCACAAGGGCCGCUCGCGCUCCUGCCCGUAGGUGGCGAGGAGGGCCUGUGCCUC